rnacentral:rRNA from 1 species
GACGAACCGAGCGGACGUUAUUCGGAAUCACUGGGCUUAAAGGGUGCGUAGGCGGGCACGCGAGUCAGGGGUGAAAUCCCACGGCCCAACCGUGGAAGUGCCUCUGAUACCGCGAGCCUCGAGGGGGAUAGGGGCGUGCGGAACUUCCGGUGGAGCGGUGAAAUGCGUAGAUAUCGGAAGGAACACCGGUGGCGAAAGCGGCGCGCUGGAUCCCUACUGACGCUGAGGCACGAAAGCCAGGGGAGCAAACGGG